AUAAGCUAAAUAAGGGCGUAUGGAGGAUGCCUAGGCUCUCAGAGGCGAAGAAGGACGUGAUAAGCUGCGAAAAGCUACGGGGAUUGGCACAUACAAAUUGAUCCGUAGAUAUCCGAAUGGGGCAACCCACUAUGUUGAAGACAUAGUACCACGCUUGCGUGGAGCAAACCCGGUGAACUGAAACAUCUAAGUACCCGGAGGAAAGGACAGCAACAGCGACUCCCUCAGUAGCGGCGAGCGAACGGGGACCAGCCGAGCCGAGAAUGUGACCAGAACAGGUUGGAAAGCCUGACCAUAGUGGGUGACAGUCCCGUAUGGGAAGCAUGAUCGGACGUAUCAAGUAGGGCGGGACACGUGAAAUCCUGUCUGAAGAUCGGAGGACCACCUUCGAAGGCUAAGUACUCCUUACUGACCGAUAGUGAACCAGUACCGUGAGGGAAAGGUGAAAAGCACCCCGACGAGGGGAGUGAAACAGUACCUGAAACCGAGCGCCUACAAUCAGUCGGAGCCCCCUUGCGGGGUGACGGCGUACCUUUUGUAUAAUGGGUCAUCGACUUGGUCUCACGAGCAAGCUUAAGCCGUUAGGUGUAGGCGCAGCGAAAGCGAGUCUGAAUAGGGCGUCGAGUUCGUGGGAUCAGACCCGAAACCGAGUGAUCUAGGCAUGUCCAGGAUGAAGACAAGGUAACACUUGUUGGAGGUCCGAACCCACACCUGUUGAAAAAGGUCGGGAUGAGGUGUGCCUAGGGGUGAAAGGCCAAUCAAACUCGGAGAUAGCUGGUUCUCCGCGAAAUCUAUUUAGGUAGAGCGUCAUCCGAAUACCCCGGGGGGUAGAGCACUGGAUGGGUAAUGGGGCCCCACAGGCUUACUGAUCCUAACCAAACUCCGAAUACCCGGGAGUACUAGAUGGCAGACACACGGCGGAUGCUAACGUCCGUCGUGGAGAGGGAAACAACCCUGACCUCCAGCUAAGGCCCCCAAUUCAUGGCUAAGUGGGAAAGCAGGUGGGACGACCAAAACAACCAGGAGGUUGGCUUAGAAGCAGCCAUCCUUUAAAGAUAGCGUAACAGCUCACUGGUCUAAACAAGUUGUCCUGCGGCGAAGAUGUAACGGGGCUCAAGCCAUGAGCCGAAGCUGAGGAUGCCGUAAGGCAUGGUAGCGGAGCGUAGUGUGACAUAGUUCACUGUCUCCUUAGCGGGUUCGCCCGCAUUGGAGACAGGGAGCUUUCUGUGAAGCGGGCGCGUGAGCGAUCCCGUGGAGAGAUCACUAGCGAGAAUGAUGACAUGAGUAGCGACAAAGAGUGUGAGAGACACUCUCGCCGAAAGUCCAAGGGUUCCUGCUUAAAGCUAAUCUGAGCAGGGUAAGCCGGCCCCUAAGUCGAGGCAGAAAUGCGUAGACGAUGGGAAUCAGGUUAAUAUUCCUGAGCCAGGAGGAUGUGACGGAUCCUGACGGUUGUUCACCCUUAUCGGAUUGGACGAGCCGCUUAGGGGUUCCAGGAAAUAGCCCUCCGUUAGAUCGUACCCUAAACCGACACAGGUGGAUAGGUAGAGAAUACCAAGGCGCUUGAGAGAACCACAUUUAAGGAACUCGGCAAAAUACCUCCGUAAGUUCGCGAGAAGGAGGCCCGGGUAGGACGCAAGUCUUAUUCGGGGGCACAAACCAGGGGGUGGCGACUGUUUACUAAAAACACAGGGCUCUGCGAAGUCGCAAGACGACGUAUAGGGUCUGACGCCUGCCCGGUGCCUGAAGGUUAAAUGGAGGAGUGCAAGCUCCGAAAUGAAGCCCAGGUAAACGGCGGCCGUAACUAUAACGGUCCUAAGGUAGCGAAAUUCCUUGUCGGGUAAGUUCCGACCUGCACGAAUGGCGUAACGACUUCCCCGCUGUCUCGAAUGUGGACUCAGCGAAAUUGAAAUACCUGUCAAGAUGCAGGUUUCCCGCGGUUAGACGGAAAGACCCCGUGCACCUUUACUACAGCUUCACACUGGCAUCAGGCCAAGCAUGUGCAGGAUAGGUGGUGGGCUUUGAAACCAAAACGCCAGUUUUGGUGGAGCCUCCCUUGAGAUACCACCCCUGCUUCGCUUGAUGUCUAACCGCGGUCCGUUAUCCGGAUCC
rnacentral:rRNA from 1 species